GGCCUUCUGUAUCCGUGCUGAAAUUUCGUCACACACCAGACCGCAAAUGCUGAUGAGAUUCCCAACGUGAAUGAAGCG
rnacentral:pre_miRNA from 1 species